rnacentral:rRNA from 1 species
CGCUGGCGGCGUGCUUAACACAUGCAAGUCAACGGGGAUUAAGUUGGAAGGUUCGGCCUGGAAGACUAAUUCGAGUGGCGGACGGGUGAGUAACGCGUGAGCAACCUGUCCCAGACAGGGGGAUAACACUUGGAAACAGGUGCUAAUACCGCAUAAGACCACGGGGUCACAUGGCUCUGGGGUAAAAGGAGCAAUCCGGUUUGGGGUGGGCUCGCGUCCGAUUAGAUAGUUGGUGAGGUAACGGCCCACCAAGUCGACGAUCGGUAGCCGACCUGAGAGGGUGAUCGGCCACAUUGGAACUGAGAGACGGUCCAAACUCCUACGGGAGGCAGCAGUGGGGAAUAUUGGGCAAUGGGCCGAAAGCCUGACCCAGCAACGCCGCGUGAGUGAAGAAGGCCUUCGGGUUGUAAAGCUCUGUUAUAGGGGACGAAGGAAGUGACGGUACCCUAUAAGGAAGCCCCGGCUAACUACGUGCCAGCCGCCGC